AGUCUUUUCAUUCUCUCCUCUAGCCCAUCAGAGCCUAAAUUUAGUGGACCCAUGACCCAAGCAAAUACCUUCACUUCCUGUGUUUUCCUGUUGCAGCCCUGCUCAGCAAUGACUGUGUGCAUAGAAGAAGGAGAAAAGGUGAAUCCCCAAGCAAGCAGCCAUGUCCCUUGCAAGCUGUCAAAGUCCAGCUGCUGAACACAGCAACAGAAGGAGAGACCAUCCCAUGCAUGACAGUUAUGCCAAGCAUCAAGACUUUAAACAGAAAAGAGUUUAUGUAACCGUGGUGCCCAAAUGCUUCCUCAUGACAGUCUCUCUCAGCCAAACCAUCAAGGACAAACUGCUGAAAACGAAAUUGCCAUGGAAUGCAGGCAUCUAUUCUGAUACACAAUGGUUUAUUGAAAUGGACUGCACAGGAAGCAUUCCCUCCCUGGAUGUAUGUACCAACACCAGCAAGCAGGGUGACCACUGCACAAACAGGCAGAGGUGAGGGCACUUUGCUUGGCAAAAGUCAAUAUGGUGCAGGUGGGAGUAAUCCCUGGUUAAAUAAUAAAUCCCUUCAAAUCCCA
rnacentral:lncRNA from 1 species